CCUUUGGAGUGCUAAAUCAAAAGAAAGUAGUUGCAAAAUGAAAAUCUGGCACGGCGAAGAAGGAA
rnacentral:sRNA from 12 species